GGAUGACAGAGAUACACUACAAAUGCAAGUACAAUCCCUUAAAGAGUCUGUUGAGACCCACAACACAUACCUCUCAAUGCUACAAAGAUCCCUCGACGACAUUGAUAACACGUUGGCGCAACAAUCUCAGAGUGAGGGGCAUCCCAGAAAAUGAUCAGGAAUACCUCCAGCUUGUUCUAAGGGAGCUAUUCAACUUGGUAAUGAGCAAACGGUCUGACGCACCACUCCACUUUGACAGAGCACACUGCACUGAAGCCAAAGGGCCAUCCAGUUUACAUUUGCCGUCUUCAUUACUUUGCAUGCAAAAAGGGAAAACCUUGUGGUCCUCAGGUAGUUGACACAGCCUCUACUAUUUCACAAUGCUCCAAUUAGUAUCUACCCAGACUUAUACUGCCAGAUCCUGAGACCCAUCACAGACCAACUCCGCUCUAGAAACCUGGGGUACCUAUGGGGCUUUCCCCUGGCACUGAGUGUCUCCUACAAGGGCAUCACUCACUGACAUCCCACCAUUCCUACAGGUCCUAAACUUACCAGAAAUACACGUACCAGAUUGGUACAGUCCACUACAAAUGCCAUCUAUACCUCAGCUGCCACAACGUCCUCACUAACAACAAACUCCCAAGAAACGGAAAACUGAACUACCUGAACCCACUAAGCACUAAACCAGGGAUAGACAACCUUCGGCACUGCAGAUUUUUUGGACUUCACCUACUUUGCUGCUUUGCCAGCAUUAUGGGUGAUGUAGUCCACAACAUUUGGAGUGCUGAAGGUUGCCUACUCCUGAAUUAAAGGAACACUAUAGUCACCUAAACUACUUAAGCUAAAUAAAGCAGUUUUAGUGUAUAGAUCAUUCCCCUGCAAUUUCACUGCUCAAUUCACUGUCAUUUAGGAGUUAAAUCACUUUGUUUCUGUUUAUGCAGCACUAGCCACACCUCCUCUGGCUAUGAUUGACAGAGCCUACAUAAAAAAAAAAAAAAAUUGGUUUCACUUUCAAACAGAUGUAAUUUACCUUAAAUCAUUGUAUCUCAAUCUCUAAAUUGAACUUUAAUCACAUACAGGAGGCUCUUGCAGGGUCUUGCAAGCUAUUAACAUAGCAGGGGAUAAGAAAAUCUUAAUUAAACAGAACUUGCAAUAAAGAAAGCCUAAAUAGGGCUCUCUUUACAGGAAGUGUUUAUGGAAGGCUGUGCAAGUCACAUGCAGGGAGGUGUGACUAGGGUUCAUAAACAAAGGGAUUUAUCUCCUAAAUGGCAGAGGAUUGAGCAGUGAGACUGCAGGGGCAUGUUCUAUACACCAAAACUGCUUCAUUAAGCUAAAGUUGUUCAGGUGACUACAGUGUCCCUUUAAACUACGUCCGUGAUAGACUCUGCAAGAAUGACCCACUUCCACGGCCCAAACCUCUCCUUCAAAGAGGACUUAUUACUGGACUUUGCGUUGCACCCCUGGUAAUGAACUGCCACACACAAAAAUGUAGUUAUUAACCCUAUACUGAAAAAGGCAACACCACUUCUCAACAGAAGAUACACAACCUGUUAUGCCUACUGAUAAAUCAAGCUUUGGGUAUCUAUUCACCCUUCUCUUAUCUCCCGACCCUGUAAUUCACUGAGUGAGAGAGUUAGUUUAUACUGAAGCCAGACUUCCAGGCAACUUGUGUGUGACUUCUCACACCUUGCAGAGUGACUCUGUUGGGGUCCCAGCUUCAAAGUGGAAUUUGGGUUGUAAGCUCUAACCUCUCAUGCAUUUAAAUUAGCCCCUUUUGAAAAUGUAUUUUUGGGGUGUUUAUGAUUAUUGUAUAUUUGUCUGUAGAGGAUCCUGGGAGAAAAAGCCUUGUAUUAUUGUAUGGGAGAACCCAUGUAGGGGUCUAUGCAUAAAAGCCGUGUGUGGCCAAAAUAAAAUCAGUUGACUCCCAGAACUAUAUGUCGUCUAGUUGCUGGGGGGGAAAGUGUCUUGGAUUAUUAUACUGCUUCUUUCAGCUAAGAGGAAGGAAUAGUGGAGAUAGCUAUGCUAGGUAUUGGAGCUCCGCUACACUGUCC